AGUGAACGCUGGCGGCAGGCCUAACACAUGCAAGUCGAGCGGCAGCGCGGGGGCAACCCUGGCGGCGAGCGGCGGACGGGUGAGGAAUUCGUCGGAAUCUGCCUUUUUGUGGGGGAUAACGUAGGGAAACUUACGCUAAUACCGCAUACGUCCUACGGGAGAAAGUGGGGGACCGCAAGGCCUCACGCAGAAAGAUGAGCCGACGACCGAUUAGCUAGUUGGUGGGGUAAAGGCCCACCAAGGCGACGAUCGGUAGCUGGUCUGAGAGGAUGAUCAGCCACACUGGGACUGAGACACGGCCCAGACUCCUACGGGAGGCAGCAGUGGGGAAUAUUGGACAAUGGGCGCAAGCCUGAUCCAGCCCUGCCGCGUGUGUGCAGAAGGCCUUCGGGUUGUAAAGCACUUUUGUCCGGAAAGAAAUCCCUGGAGCUAAUCCCUUCGGGGGAUGACGGUACCGGAAGAAUAAGCACCGGCUAACUUCGUG
rnacentral:rRNA from 1 species